UCGCACCUUCUGCUGAAUCUCCGCCUCAAGAUCGCGGAGAACGGGGGACCCAAAGGACAUCGGUCCAGGGGCGAAUCACUGGCAUCUGCCAGGUAGCGCUGCUCUUUCAGCGCGAGCCCGACAGCUAACCCCGCAAGCCUUACGAAAGAGAGAA
rnacentral:sRNA from 2 species